rnacentral:lncRNA from 1 species
CUUCAAUUUUUUCUAUAUAUUUUCCAAUAAAGAGGGCUUAAUAGGUAACGCAUUCAAUUUGCACCUAUUUCCUGUCAACCCCAUUUUCUCAAUUUGCACCUAUGGCUAACAACAAUGUGGCAAGUUCUUCGGUCAUCCCGCCAUGGGAUGAUGAUUUUUCCCUAAUGGAUCCGGCAAAUCCGAAAUUCUUUACCGAGCUCACAAAAACAAACUUGAAGAAUCCCUACUACAUUGUAAGUCAUUUCUAUGUUGAAUUUNUUUUUCUUUUUUUUAUUACGAGUAGCCUAAAAAAAUACAUGACAUUGGAAAAUGAAAUGAAUGCAGACGGUGCCCAAAGAAAUUUGGGGUAUUAUUGACGAAACAAAACUUGUGGUGCAUCUUACGAACAAGAGGAAACAGUGGG